rnacentral:misc_RNA from 1 species
GGCAAUUUCUUCCUUAUGAUCCCCUGUUACAACUAUAUCAUCUACAUAAGCAAUAAGCUAUAUGACUUUACCUCUACAGCGUUUUAAAAAUAAAGUGUGAUCAGCAUUACACUAACAGAACCCAAAGGAAAUCAUAGCUUUACUAAAUCUAUCAAACCAUGCAAAACUUUUUUCAAUUUGCAAACCUUUCCUCUGGUUUUC